CUUAUCGAAAAGAUUUAUUUUUAUUUUGCAUUGCUGUUUUUAAAUGGUGUAAACAUGGAAUAUGUCAAACUCAAAAUAUUUAAUCUAAUUUGAAAUCAAAGAUCCACACCAUCAGUUUGCAAAAAUAAAUAAGGAUAAGAAAAAAGAGGAUGUUGGUAUCAGUUCCUUUAUGCAGUAAAAAUAUUAUUCUCUGAAUAAAAAGACAUGGAAGGAAGAAAUCACCAAUGUUGAACGUGGAAUCAGGGAUCAAAUUUAAUAAAUAGCAAGAAUUAUUUAAACUACUUCGAAUGAGUUGAACCACUUCUUUUGUAUUUGAACCGGCGCAUGAGAGAAGUGAUUCAACUUAGACUAAGCAGGGACCGAAUUUAACAAAUUUGAGCUACGUUGCUGAACUACCAACUGCUGGAUCAAAUUUAAACCACCGAUUCAAAGUUCAAAUUUAUUAAAUUUGGUUCUAGUUUAACAAAACCAAGCUAUUUAUUAAAUUUGGAAACAGCAUGAUAAAUAUCAACCUUGAAAACAAACCGAUAUCUCCUCAAUUGAUAGAUAAAGAUUGGAUAAAGGGUGGUAUCCCUGUUCUAUCCUAUCCCUCUGCAGCCCUCUGCUUAUCUCUCAACUGUAUUCUACCAGGAUUGGGAACUGUUUUGUCUGGAUUGUUAGUUCUCUGUUGCUCUAACUGUGUGUCCCGUGUUGGUUGUCCCAGGUG